GGUAGCGCAGCUCUUUUACAUAAUUUUAUCCACAUAAUUAUAUAUAUUCAAUAAAUUAUUUUAGUUUAUGUUUUUAACUCUUUGUCGUUAGCGACUUAGUUCUAGGAAGGGCGGCACAGGGACUUCAAAAUAUACAAUUUGAUGCUGUUCUCUUUAUUUUCUUCGAAUGGAUUUUGUUUCCAUUUUCUUUUAGUAUUAAUUUUUCAUCUGCCGUUUGCUUAGCGUGCACAUUUUUCUAGAUGUUCUAAUUCUAAAAACUGGAAUAUUUUACUUCUGUUAAAUUGUUGUUUGAUUCUUAGAGGGGCUUUAGCACAGUUAUUGUAUGGUACAAUUGAUAAAAAGGUGUUUUCCUUGUGUGUCUGUGCAGCUGUAUGUGUGUGAGU